ensembl:lncRNA
AGAAAACACUGCAGGUGAAUGCAUGACAUCAUGGAUCAAUCACCAGAGAAAACACUGCAGGUGAGUGCAUGACGUCAAUCACCACAGAAAACACUGCAGGUGAAUGCAUGACAUCAUGGAUCAAUCACCAGAGAAAACACUACAGGUGAGUGCAUGACGUCAAUCACCAGAGAAAACACUGCAGGUGGUGCAUGACGUCAAUCACCACAGAAAACACUGCAGGUGAAUGCAUGACAUCAUGGAUCAAUCACCAGAGAAAACACUACAGGUGAAUGCAUGAUAUCAAUCACCAGAGAAAACACUGCAGGUGAAUGCAUGAUAUCAAUCACCACAGAAAACACUGCAGGUGAAUGCAUGACAUCAAUCACCAGAGAAAACACUACAGGUGAGUGCAUGACAUCAAUCACCAGAGAAAACACUGCAGGUGAAUGCAUGACAUCAAUCACCAGAGAAAACACUGCAGGUGAGUGCAUGACAUCAAUCACCAGAGAAAACACUGCAGGUGAGUGCAUGACAUCAAUCACCAGAGAAAACACUACAGGUGAGUGCAUGACGUCAGUCACCACAGAAAACACUGCAGGUGAAUGCAUGACAUCAUGGAAUCAAUCACCACAGAAAACACUGCUAGUGUGUGCAUGACAUCAUGGAUCAAUCACCAGAGAAAACACUACAGGUGAGUGCAUGACAUCAAUCACCACAGAAAACACUACAGGUGUGUAUAUGGCAUCGAUCCCUGAACACUACAGUUAACAAAGUCUAUAGAAAAGUGUAUGGUAUCAAUCUCCAGACAGACUACUGCAGGCGAGUGUAUAUUAUUGAUAUCAAUCAAUAUGAUUGAUUGAUAUGGUAUGAUAUGAUAUGGUAUCAAUAAUUACAACAAACACUAAAGGUGUGUGUGUGUGUGUGCGUGUGUGUGUGUGUGUGUGCGCGUGCGCACGCAGGGUCGGAUUGGGAGAGAAAGUUUUUACCAGGGCUUUCACAGACUCCUGCAGCCACUAGAAUUAUUUAAGCUCCAAAAAGUGAUUCAUAUAACUGAC